rnacentral:lncRNA from 1 species
AUGGAAAUGCAUCUGGUAGUAAUAGCUGGUAAUGCAUCCUUCUCAUACGAAUAGUUGAAUUACAAUACUAAUGUGAAUUGUUGCUAUUCUGAUCCUUUAACUUAAUGAUUCUGGGGCUGAUGUUAUGCAUCAUUGUGGACUGUUUUUGAUAAUAGCAUUUUUUGGGGCUGAUGUGACCUGUUUUUGGGUAACUUGUGGUCACUGUGGACUGUUUUUUGGUAAUAGUUGGUAAUAGUAUUUUUUGGGGCUGAUGUUAUGCAUCAUUGCGGACUAUUUUUUGUUAUAGUUGUGUAGUUUAUGGUUAUGGUUAUGGCUGAUCUGUAGUUUUUGGUAACUUGUGGUCACUGUGGACUGUUUUAGGGUAAUAGCUGGUAAUAACAUUUUUUGGGGCUGAUGUUAUGCAUCAUUGUGGACUGUUUUUUGUUAUGGUUGUGUAGUUUAUGGUUAUGGUUGUGGCUGAUGUGUAGUUUUUGGUAACUUAUGGUCAUUGUGGACUGUUUUUUGGUAAUAGCUAGUAAUAACAUUUUUUGGGGCAGAUGUUAUCCAUCAUUGUGGACUAUUUUUUGUUAUGGUUGUGUAGUUUAUGGUUAUGGUUAUGGGACUGAUGGUUGUGUAAUAACAUUUUUUGGGGCUGAUGUUAUGCAUCAUUGUUAUCUGAACUUAUUCUUUGGGAAAUAUCUAGGUAUCAUGUAUAUAGUGCUGUUAGUUUAUCAAUAGAAAGGUAAAAAUCUGAUUGUUCAUCUGCAAUAGUAUAUUAUUUCCAAGUACAAGCGACAGACCAUGCAUGGAUAGCAAUCUUCUUUUUGCCUAUGUAGUGACUUGAAAGAAAUGAAUAUAAUGCAAAGGGGGCGUUUGUGAACUUUGAUUGGUUUCACCUGUUUAGAUGGUCUUCACUUUCACAUUGCGAGGCAAAUAGCUUAUUCUCUUUGCACAGUUUAAUCCUACAGAGGCAUCGUUUCCUUCAUGAUUUAUGAAACAUAAACUCCUAAAAUCAAAGAGGGCUAGUACCUCCUGUAUUCACACCUCGUACAAUAAGUUGUUUUCUGUGUUUUAAUAUAUAAACAACCAAAAGCAUAAAGAUUAAACAAUAAUUACUGUGGGAGUCCAAUUUAAUUGUUCAAUAAGUUGAGCUAUUUAAAGAAGAAGAAAGAAAAUAAAAAAAAAACUGUUUUAGAGAGCUCUUUAGUUGAGCUAUGCACUGUUGUAUUUGUAUAGAUUGGACUGUGAUUUCUAACUUCUUGCUGGUGUUGUAAUAUGUGGGCCCAAAUUAUAUGAGAUUCUUAAUGAAUUGUAAUUUUUGUCUUAAUAAUCUAAGUCUCAUUACUUGUUCUUUAUUAUUGUACUCCUCCCCUUACCUACUUCUUUUACUCUUUUAUGACAGAUAAAUGCUAUUCAUACUAGCUUUUGGAAGAUAUCUAUGGUUAUGGUUGAAGAAUGUUUAAGACAAAAUUGCCUUUUGCUCAUGGAGUGGUUCAUUUAGAUGUUCUUCAAUUUCUUAAACUGUGAUUGCUUUUAUAAAUGUAUCUUAUGUACAAUGAUAUUUUGGACAAAUGUUAUUUUUGUAGGCAUUAGUUGG